AUUGAACGCUGGCGGCAGGCCUAACACAUGCAAGUCGAACGGUAGCACAGGAGAGCUUGCUCUCUGGGUGACGAGUGGCGGACGGGUGAGUAAUGCAUGGGGAGCUGCCCAAUCGAGGGGGAUACCAGCUGGAAACGGCUGCUAAUACCGCAUACGCCCUGAGGGGGAAAGUGGGGACCUUCGGGCCUACCGCGAUUGGAUGCACCCAUGUGGGAUUAGCUAGUUGGUGAGGUAACGGCUCACCAAGGCGACGAUCUCUAGCUGGUCUGAGAGGAUGACCAGCCACACUGGAACUGAGACACGGCCCAGACUCCUACGGGAGGCAGCAGUGGGGAAUUUUGGACAAUGGGCGCAAGCCUGAUCCAGCAAUGCCGCGUGCAGGAUGAAGGCCUUCGGGUUGUAAACUGCUUUUGUACGGAACGAAAAGGCUCUGGUUAAUACCUGGGCUCAUGACGGUACCGUAAGAAUAAGCACCGGCUAACU
rnacentral:rRNA from 1 species